GGACCUGCGGGCCCGGCGAGGGGACAGCGGCUUGGGCGUGUGUCAGCCGAGAUCGGACAGCAGGACGCAGAGCGUCCGCGCCGGAAUAAGAAUGCUUUUCACUGGCGGGGAAGCAAGUGGGACUGAUCAGCGGUUGAUUUUUCAGGUUCUUGGCUCCUGUUCUUAUUUAUACAGAGGUGACCAAAAGCCUUGGGCAGAGGCGGAAUGCUAGAGGGUGACAAUUGAGGGUAGGUUGUGAGCGUUUUAUUUCACAGUGGAGGAGCGGUCUGUAUUAUUUGCCUGCGGGAGGACUGUGGGAAGCGCGGAGCCGAAAUGCUGGUGGGAGAGGCGGCGAGAAGGAGGAGGUUCGGUGCAUCAGCUGCGCUGUCAGGGCCCUUCUGGAGAGUUGGAAGUCGGAGAGCCGUGCUGCAGAGGAAAAGAGGGCUCGGGGGAGACUGGAGGGUGGUGGCCGGGGGAGCACGAAAAUAAGAGUCAGUGAGCACGAGAUCUUAAAUUUUAUGAUCCGAAAGAUAAUCUGGGGCCUAAAACCCAGUAAUGGAUAAAGAAGUUUGUCGUCCCCCACUUACCCUGGCCCUGAAUCUCAGAGCUUCCUCCUCAAGGUCACAAGUGCUUUCAGACAUCCCCUGGCCCUUACCUGAUCCACAGAUAAUCUUCUGAAGAAAACAUUUGCAUAAAGAUGACUUCGUGCGUCUGCCCCCUUUAACUUAUGUCUGAAAUGUAGAACUCUGGGAAAGCACUUUAACCCAAAGGUAUGACUCUUCUUGUGGAAGAAUUUCUAUAAUCAGAAUUUCUGGCAUCUGAACUGGGAAGGUCCUUUGAGACUAGGAUUCUUCCCAAGGACUUUCAAAUCACCUCAGGUUGGCAAUCACCUGCUCUGAAAAGCUAACAGACAGACUGACCUAGCAGAAAAAAAAAAAAAAAAGUUUUGUGAAGUGGCCUGUACUGGAGAUGAGGCAGUGUUGGCUAGCACAUGAACCUGCAGUGAAAUAGGCAGUUUGACAAAUGUUCCUGAGGCAAGGAAGAUAAGAAAGCAUAAGACUUCCCGUAUGUUCUCUGUCAAAUGUAUAUUGAGCAUCUGCUAUAAUGCCAGACCCUGGAGAUACACUGAUGAGGAAAACAGUACAGUUCCUGCUGCCAUGAAGUUUACGGUCUAGUGAAGGAGGCAAGCAGUAACAAAAUAAUCAUUGUAAUUGCUAACCAAGAUACAUUUUACGAAAGAAAAACAUUUGUGUUAAAAAUAAAAAGUUUAAUAAAUUCUAACCAUAACCUAUAUAAGUCAUCGGUGAUUCAGUGGUAGUAUUCAUGCUUCCCAUGCAGGAGAAAAAAAAAAAAACCUAGAUCCAAUUCCUGGCCAGUGUACCUCAGGAACAACUACAAUCUGUCAGUUUCUCAUACAGUAGUGACUUUCUUGUUGCUAUGAUGCUGGAUAGCUUCAGUGACCUUCCAGACUCAGAUACAGUAAGAAGAAAAUCCUAGCAAUCUACUUGCAAAAAUCAGCCAGUGAAAAUCCUAUGGAUCAUAACAAAACACAGUGGCGUCACUAAGGUUGGUGUCACCCAGUAAGGUAACUCGUGGUGUCAUCCCCCCAUGCUAAUUACCACAAUAUUGUAGCUAAAACACCAGAUAAUUUGCCAAAAUCAGCAACUACAAAAAAACAGCAGCAGUGAACACAACAGCGUGCUUGUAGCUCGUGCAGAUGAAACCACGUGAUUUGAAGGAUCAUUGUAAUUGGGUAAUAAUGACAGCUCUGACCGGAGUGCAUUUGAAGGUUCAAAAAGUAAAUCAGUGUAGAGUUUUAGCCUUGUAAGUAUAUUGAUAUAUGUAAGCUGGGCUUAUGAAAAAAAUUUUUUGUUAUAACUACAGGAAUAUUUUUAUAAGAAAUAAUAAAUCUCUGCUGAAACGCGGUACAGAAAUUCUAUAGACAGUAAUUUUGGUGUCACCUCCUCGAACGAUGUCACGCAGUGUGGUCCAAACCACCCGCACCCCCAUAGUGACACCACUGACAAAACACUAUCUGAUCUGCAACUGAUCCUGGAAAUCCGGGCAGCAUUUCAUGAGCUCACCAUGAGUCAGAGCCCAUUCAUGGCAACUGACAAUAAUAACCAUAACCUUUGACGGAUAGAAGGAAUCACAGGCUCCAUCCCCAUCACCUCAGAGAUAAGGAAUCCCCAGUGACAAAAGGGUGACUCCUUGGGCUGCUCCACUUCCACCUGAACAUGUACUGACUUGCUCUACCCUUCGCCCUCACGUCUUAAAAUGCAGACGCCUAUUUUGAAUUGGAAAAAAAUUCCAACUGAGUAGAAAUACUGUUUAAUGGUGAUUGGUUUUCUUUCUUCUCUGUGUUUAACUUACUUGCUUUGCAGACAAAACAUACACUUGGUAAGCUUAGAAAGAGACAGAUACACUUCUGAUAUCUCAGAUCAAACCUGGGGGGAAAAACAAGCUAGCCGUGCUAUCCUGUCUCACGGGUAUACUUUUGAAGAAUAAGUUUCUUCACCUCUAGGAGGAAAAAGUACUAACUGAUUAUUUGACAGGUAAAGUAUGUGCACCCUGUAUAGCUGAAGAAUGACCCAUGUGUUUCUUGAGUUCAUGCCCUCUGACUCCCCCAAAAUUACUCAUUUUUCCUAUCUAGCCGAUAAUCAAGGGAAAAAUUGCUUACAAAACAUUUGCCACAUUUUUUCAUUGUUUUUGGUUGUUGAAUACAGUCUAUCCAAGAGGCCUGUAUAUAUCCAGGCUAUAUUAUCUAAACUUAUUGACAACUGUCCUGUAACACACAGCAUUCAUUUAUUUAACAUGAAAAAUAAUUUGGAAGAAAGAUAUCAUGAUAAAUCACGAUAUCAAUGUUGCCAUCAAUCAUAUAAUCAUUAAACAAGUAUUUAUUGAAUGACUUCUAUAGUGAGUAUUGCUAGACAAGAAGCCUCACUCCUGACUAGAGAGAGCUUACAGCCAUUACGAUUAUUUCUUUGUUUUUCAUGUAACUAUUUGUAGUUUAAGUUUGCGUACUUUUUUCUUAUCAAGCUAUUUGGAUGAAGCACAGAAACUUAAAUAUAAGAAACUCAUCGGUAUAUAAGUUAAAACUUAUUAAUAUUAGCAGGACUGGAUGGUUGACCAUUUUCUAAGAAAGCUUUGAGCAUUGGCUUAUCUCUGAAGAUUUCAGGCAAUAAAGCCAUUGUCGUUGUUGUUAGGUGCCAUCCAGACGAUUUUGACACAUAACGACCCCAUUGACAGAGUAGAACUGCUCCAUAGGGUUUCUUGGCAGAUCACCAGGUCUUUUCUUGGCUAUAAUCUUUAUGAAAGCAGAUUGCCAGGUCUUUUUCCUGCGGAGCCGCUAAGUGGAUUCAAACUGCGAGCCGGUGAAUGCUUAUGCAUUGUGCAACCAGGACUUAAUAAAGCCUUUAGGAAGUGGAAGCUUUCUCUUUUCAAAAGGUCUCAAAAACUGUACCCUUGGAAAUGACAUCCAACCUAUCACUGUGACUGGAUUGACAAAAUAAGUACGUAGGGGGAUGCAGCAAAGAUCACAUUUGUCAUUGUCGCUACAUAGUAUGUACAUAUUUUAGCUGCCAAAAAUUAGGUAGUCGUGUUCCUUUUCUAGAAGCAAAGAAGCGUAUUCUUUGAAAGUUUACUUGUGUCAAAUCAGGAUACAAAACUGAAAAAAAAAAAAAAAAAACCUUUCUUAGAAGUUUUUUAAAU